AGAUUCUCAAUGCAUAAAAGCAAUUUUUCAGAGAGAGAGAGAGUUUAUUUAGUAAACUCGAGUCUCUCUCCUCAUGCUCUACAAACAUUCUCCGGUGGAGACAAGAACCCGCCGGAGAAGACGGUGGUGGCCGGCCGUCGGUGGCCGGCCGUCGGUGGCGGCACCUUCUUCUUCUCCGGAUAACACCAUUUCAAAACGAUGCACCAUCAACACCAAACCUUCCUCGUUUUGGCAGGAGAACCCAAAUUCGACCUUAACUUUUCCCAAAUCCUCCUCAAACGGCCGGAUCGGCCCUCCCAACAAGACGAAAAAUCAAAUCUCCGACCAACUUUCAAAACAGACCAACGAACUCUCGACUCCAGACAACUCAAAACAAAAUCGACAACAAGAAAUAACUCAAACCCCAAACCCUAAUUUCAAAAUUAAAACCCCCACAAUUGUAAUUUACAGAAAUUGCUAAAGGGGUUUUACUCAGUUCAGAACGACGGAUGUAACAACAUAAGCAUUUCGAGCAAAAGAGGGAAAAGAGGACUACUUGAUCGGAGUUAAGCCGCCGACGACGUCUUCUCCACUAUGUUUGAGAUAAGUUUCCUUUCUGACUUCGAGCGCUCUCUCCCCUCUCUUUCUUUCUCUCUGUUUUAUUUAAAUGUUGUUUGAUCGUUCUGUUGGUCUUUUUUGCAGAAAAUCCGUCCUCUUCUUCAAUGAUCGAACGACUCCUCUUAUAGAUGGGUGUGUGUGGUCCUCUUUGUUGUGAGCUGGCCGGAAUUAAAGGAUCGUUCAGUUAGAUUCGAAUCCCCCUUAGAUUUGGUACUCUUGGACACCUCUCCUGGAAGAACAACAGGAAGGGACGACGACAUCUUAAUCGAUGUAUGUCUUUGACCAUCACCGGGUUCCAACAUAUGAUUUUAAAGACGAAUGCGACUCUUCCUCCAGCCCUUUUCACUCAACAUGAAGCGUCUGUUGGCACGUGGUAAAACAAAUCGGAUUGCACGAAUUAAGACGACAUCUGGAAGCCCCUUGAGCAUACACGGAUGAGCCUCCUUAUCAGGAUACUCAUCUUGUUCUCUUUUUGCCUCAAAUUAUGUAAAUGCAACAAAAUAUGUACUGUAAUUAUGCACAUGGUUCAUGUACUUUAAACACUUGUAAUGAAAUCCAAGAAUUGAUUGA